rnacentral:rRNA from 1 species
UACAGAGGGUGCGAGCGUGGUCCGGAAUCACUGGGCGUAAAGGGUGCGCAGGCGGCGGUUCGCGUGGCGAGAUGAAAUCUCCUGGCUUACCUGGGAGGGUGGUCGCCAGACGGGAUCGCUUGAGGGUCGGAGAGGGGCGUGGAAUUCCGGGUGGAGCGGUGAAAUGCGUAGAGAUCCGGAGGAACACCGACGGCGUAGGCAGCGCCCUGGACGACACCUGACGCUGAGGCACGAAAGCUGGGGGAGCGAACCGG